rnacentral:tRNA from 1 species
GGGCGCUUGGCACAGGGGUAGCGCGCACGCUUCGCACUGGAGAAUGCGUGAGGUCGUGGGUUCAAAUCCCACAGUGUCCA